rnacentral:rRNA from 1 species
UACGUAGGUGGCAAGCGUUAUCCGGAUUUACUGGGUGUAAAGGGCGUGUAGGCGGGACUGCAAGUCAGAUGUGAAAUUCCAGGGCUCAACCCUGGACCUGCAUUUGAAACUGUAGUUCUUGAGUGAUGGAGAGGCAGGCGGAAUUCCGUGUGUAGCGGUGAAAUGCGUAGAUAUACGGAGGAACACCAGUGGCGAAGGCGGCCUGCUGGACAUUAACUGACGCUGAGGCGCGAAAGCGUGGGGAGCAAACAGG